rnacentral:rRNA from 1 species
GAUGAACGCUGGCGGCGUGCUUAACACAUGCAAGUCGAACGGAAAGGCCACAGCUUGCUGUGGUACUCGAGUGGCGAACGGGUGAGUAACACGUGGGUGAUCUGCCCUGUACUUCGGGAUAAGCUUGGGAAACUGGGUCUAAUACCGGAUAKGAMCCACAUGUGGAUGGGKKGGUGGAAAGCUUUUGCGGUAUGGGAUGAGCUCGCGGCCUAUCAGCUUGUUGGUGGGGUAAUGGCCUACCAAGGCGUCGACGGGUAGCCGGCCUGAGAGGGUGUACGGCCACAUUGGGACUGAGAUACGGCCCAGACUCCUACGGGAGGCAGCAGUGGGGAAUAUUGCACAAUGGGCGCAAGCCUGAUGCAGCGACGCCGCGUGGGGGAUGACGGCCUUCGGGUUGUAAACUCCUUUCGUCAGGGACGAAGCGAAAGUGACGGUACCUGGAUAAGAAGCACCGGCUAACUACGUGCCAGCAGCCGCGGUAAUACGUAGGGUGCGAGCGUUGUCCGGAAUUACUGGGCGUAAAGAGCUCGUAGGUGGUUUGUCGCGUCGUUUGUGUAAGUCCACGGCUUAACUGUGGGAUGGCAGGCGAUACGGGCAUAACUUGAGUGCUGUAGGGGAGACUGGAAUUCCUGGUGUAGCGGUGAAAUGCGCAGAUAUCAGGAGGAACACCGAUGGCGAAGGCAGGUCUCUGGGCAGUAACUGACGCUGAGGAGCGAAAG